UAAGAAAAAUAGCAUUCUCCACAGCUUCUCUUUGUUUUGGAAAUACUGCAUUCAAACUGAGACUUUGAUAAUUUCUGCAAAGAAUAAUGGCAAGAGGAAAGAAGCUUGCUUGCCCACAGUAACUUCCAGACAAAUGAAAACCCGGGCUGUGUCCUGAGAGUUUUAGGUAAUCCAGGCUCAUAAUUUGAUUUGAGAAGAGCUACUCCAGGCUACUGUGUAAUUAUAGAAGCAUUCGCUCGGCUGGCUCCUGUUCGCCUCGUCACGUUCUACUUCAUUGCCCUUUAUACUAAAGCCCCUGUUGAUGAGAGGGCGGAAACAAUGAAGAAAUAGACAUCAAGAAGCUCUGUGAACAGCAGAAGGUGGCAGUUGGGAACAGUCUCCCAGUGUCUAGAUGGAUAAAAUGAGGACCAGAGAAGUUACAAGAUUUGCUCAAGAUCAUGGAACUGUUAAGUGGUGGCCCACAGAGAUAGGAGUCCAGCUGAUAGCUGAUUUCCUCUAGAACCUCUCCUCUCAGCAGUUCACCCGCAUCGUCUAGAGAUUCAGUUCUUUUCUUUGUUCUUACAGAGUUUUUGAUCUUGUGGUAGAAUAAAGCAGGUGAAGAAACACAUGAAAUUACACAUGUUAAAAAAUCUGCAGGAGUAAGUGCUGGGGAGAGUCAAACUUGCAGGGAAGAAAUGGUUUGGGCCAGAACAUUUCCUAGGAGCCUGUGUCUAUUCUAUGGCAGUGAAGAGUGGGUGGGAGAUCAUUGCUCAGUUAUCUUUUCCUCUGCAGGAAAUCCCUUGGAAAUAAAUGAUUUCUGGUUUUAUUCUGCAAAACGAUCAUGGAAAGUGCUGUGUAAGACGGAGCAAACUCCUGUCCCCAUGGGUGCCUGCCAAAUAAAGUAACUAGGUGCUCAGAUAUUUUCCAGUACAAGUGCUUCAUUAUUA